rnacentral:rRNA from 1 species
UACGGAGGGGGCAAGCGUUGUUCGGAAUUACUGGGCGUAAAGGGCGCGUAGGCGGCCUGUUAAGUCGAACGUGAAAUCCCCGGGCUCAACCCGGGAACUGCGUCCGAUACUGGCAGGCUUGAAUCCGGGAGAGGGAUGCGGAAUUCCAGGUGUAGCGGUGAAAUGCGUAGAUAUCUGGAGGAACACCGGUGGCGAAGGCGGCAUCCUGGACCGGUAUUGACGCUGAGGCGCGAAAGCCAGGGGAGCAAACGGG